rnacentral:rRNA from 1 species
CCCUAAAGGGACACCAUUAGUUUCCACCACACCACCUUCAUCUGAUUUUGGGAACUAAGCGAAGUCAGGCCUGGUCGGUACUUGGAUGGGAGACUGCCAGGGGAGACCAGCGAUCUCCAGGGA